rnacentral:rRNA from 1 species
UACGUAGGGUGCAAGCGUUGUCCGGAAUUAUUUGGCGUAAAGAGCUCGUAGGCGGUUUGUCGCGUCGAAUGUGAAAACCCGGGGCUCAACCCCGGGCCUGCAUUCGAUACGGGCAGACUAGAGUUCGGUAGGGGAGUCUGGAAUUCCUGGUGUAGCGGUGAAAUGCGCAGAUAUCAGGAGGAACACCGGUGGCGAAGGCGGGUCUCUGGGCCGUAACUGACGCUGAGGAGCGAAAGCGUGGGGAGCGAACAGG